UCCUCUAUCUUCCCAAAUACCCAAUUUACAAAUCCCGAGUCUCUCCCAUCUUUGCAGGAAUCAUUUGCUGAAUUCACCAAAGCCUACCCACAAUACUCUGGUACCUAUCAAGUUGACCAAAUUCGAGCCCAAGAAUACUAUCAGCUCUCACACUCCCAUCAUACCUGUCUUGAUUAUAUUGGCAUCGGUCUCUUCUCCUAUUCUCAGCUACAAAAACAUGACUCCAGAAAACUUGUCUCUUCAUCUACUUCUACAACUCAGUCGUCUCCUCAAAUUUCGCAUUUUCCCUUCUUCAGUGUGUCCUAUAAAACAGGGAAUCUGAAGACACAGCUACUUCAUGGUGGCCAAGAAUCAGAAUUAGAAUCUGCAAUAAAGAAUCGGAUCAUGAGGUUUCUCAAUAUUUCUGAAAAAGAUUAUUGUAUGGUUUUCACUGCAAAUAGAACAUCAGCUUUCAAACUAGUAGCAGAAUCUUACCCUUUCAGCUCAAGUCAAAAGCUCCUUACCGUUUAUGACUAUGAGAGUGAAGCAGUAGAAACCAUGAUUAAUUGUUCUGAGAAGAAAGGGGCCAAGAUAAUGUCAGCAGAGUUCUCAUGGCCUAGACUGAGGAUUCAUUCAGCAAAAUUGAGGAAAAUGAUUACGAGGAAAAGAAAAAAGAAGAAGAAGAGGGGGCUAUUUGUUUUCCCACUUCAUUCUAGGGUGACUGGAGCCAGAUAUCCUUAUCUAUGGAUGAGCGUCGCUCAGGAGAAUGAUUGGCAUAUCUUGA
rnacentral:lncRNA from 1 species